GAUCAUGGCUCAGGACGAACGCUGGCGGCAUGCCUAACACAUGCAAGUCGAACGGGGGUAGCAAUACCCUAGUGGCGAACGGGUGAGUAACACAUAAGCAAUCUGCCCUUCACAGGGGGAUAACAGCGGGAAACUGCUGCUAAUACCGCAUAAGACCACAGUACCGCAUGGUACAGGGGUAAAAACGAAUCAGUGGUGAAGGAUGAGCUUAUGUCCCAUUAGCUAGUUGGUGAGAUAACAGCCCACCAAGGCGACGAUGGGUAGCCGACCUGAGAGGGUGAUCGGCCACACUGGAACUGAGACACGGUCCAGACUCCUACGGGAGGCAGCAGUGGGGAAUAUUGGGCAAUGGAGGAAAAACCUCUUACCCAGCAAUGCCGCGUGAGUGAAGAAGGUCUUCGGAUUGUAAAGCUCUUUGAUUGGGGACGAAGAAAGUGACGGUACCCAAAGAACAAGCCCCGGCUAACUACGUGCCAGCCGCUGC
rnacentral:rRNA from 1 species